rnacentral:rRNA from 1 species
UUUCGGCAAGGGGGUCAUCCCGACUUACCGACCCGAUGCAAACUGCGAAUACCGGAGAAUGUUAUCACGGGAGACACACGGCGGGUGCUAACGUCCGUCGUGAAGAGGGAAACAACCCAGACCGCCAGCUAAGGUCCCAAAGUCAUGGUUAAGUGGGAAACGAUGUGGGAAGGCCCAGACAGCCAGGAUGUUGGCUUAGAAGCAGCCAUCAUUUAAAGAAAGCGUAAUAGCUCACUGGUCGAGUCGGCCUGCGCGGAAGAUGUAACGGGGCUAAACCAUGCACCGAAGCUGCGGCAGCGACGCUUAUGCGUUGUUGGGUAGGGGAGCGUUCUGUAAGCCUGCGAAGGUGUGCUGUGAGGCAUGCUGGAGGUAUCAGAAGUGCGAAUGCUGACAUAAGUAACGAUAAAGCGGGUGAAAAGCCCGCUCGCCGGAAGACCAAGGGUUCCUGUCCAACGUUAAUCGGGGCAGGGUGAGUCGACCCCUAAGGCGAGGCCGAAAGGCGUAGUCGAUGGGAAACAGGUUAAUAUUCCUGUACUUGGUGUUACUGCGAAGGGGGGACGGAGAAGGCUAUGUUGGCCGGGCGACGGUUGUCCCGGUUUAAGCGUGUAGGCUGGUUUUCCAGGCAAAUCCGGAAAAUCAAGGCUGAGGCGUGAUGACGAGGCACUACGGUGCUGAAGCAACAAAUGCCCUGCUUCCAGGAAAAGCCUCUAAGCAUCAGGUAACAUCAAAUCGUACCCCAAACCGACACAGGUGGUCAGGUAGAGAAUACCAAGGCGCUUGAGAGAACUCGGGUGAAGGAACUAGGCAAAAUGGUGCCGUAACUUCGGGAGAAGGCACGCUGAUAUGUAGGUGAAGUCCCUUGCGGAUGGAGCUGAAAUCAGUCGAAGAUACCAGCUGGCUGCAACUGUUUAUUAAAAACACAGCACUGUGCAAACACGAAAGUGGACGUAUACGGUGUGACGCCUGCCCGGUGCCGGAAGGUUAAUUGAUGGGGUCAGCGCAAGCGAAGCUCUUGAUCGAAGCCCCGGUAAACGGCGGCCGUAACUAUAACGGUCCUAAGGUAGCGAAAUUCCUUGUCGGGUAAGUUCCGACCUGCACGAAUGGCGUAAUGAUGGCCAGGCUGUCUCCACCCGAGACUCAGUGAAAUUGAACUCGCUGUGAAGAUGCAGUGUACCCGCGGCAAGACGGAAAGACCCCGUGAACCUUUACUAUAGCUUGACACUGAACAUUGAGCCUUGAUGUGUAGGAUAGGUGGGAGGCUUUGAAGUGUGGACGCCAGUCUGCAUGGAGCCGGCCUUGAAAUACCACCCUUUAAUGUUUGAUGUUCUAACGUGGACCCGUGAUCCGGGUUGCGGACAGUGUCUGGUGGGUAGUUUGACUGGGGCGGUCUCCUCCUAAAGAGUAACGGAGGAGCACGAAGGUUGGCUAAUCCUGGUCGGACAUCAGGAGGUUAGUGCAAUGGCAUAAGCCAGCUUGACUGCGAGCGUGACGGCGCGAGCAGGUGCGAAAGCAGGUCAUAGUGAUCCGGUGGUUCUGAAUGGAAGGGCCAUCGCUCAACGGAUAAAAGGUACUCCGGGGAUAACAGGCUGAUACCGCCCAAGAGUUCAUAUCGACGGCGGUGUUUGGCACCUCGAUGUCGGCUCAUCACAUCCUGGGGCUGAAGUAGGUCCCAAGGGUAUGGCUGUUCGCCAUUUAAAGUGGUACGCGAGCUGGGUUUAGAACGUCGUGAGACAGUUCGGUCCCUAUCUGCCGUGGGCGCUGGAGAACUGAGGGGGGCUGCUCCUAGUACGAGAGGACCGGAGUGGACGCAUCACUGGUGUUCGGGUUGUCAUGCCAAUGGCACUGCCCGGUAGCUAAAUGCGGAAGAGAUAAGUGCUGAAAGCAUCUAAGCACGAAACUUGCCCCGAGAUGAGUUCUCCCUGACCCUUUAAGGGUCCUGAAGGAACGUUGAAGACGACGACGUUGAUAGGCCGGGUGUGUAAGCGCAGCGAUGCGUUGAGCUAACCGGUACUAAUGAACCGUGAGGCUUAACCUU